CCUACGGGUGGCAGCAGUGAGGAAUAUUGGUCAAUGGCCGGAAGGCUGAACCAGCCAAGUCGCGUGAAGGAGGAAGGUGCUAAGGAUUGUAAACUUCUUUUGUCAAGGGACAAAAUGAGGCUCGAGUGCCUGACCGAGGGUACUUGAAGAAAAAGCAUCGGCUAACUCCGUGCCAGCAGCCGCGGUAAUAUGGAGGAUGCGAGCGUUAUCCGGUUUUAUUGGGGUUAAAGGGUGCGGGGGCGGGCUGUUAAGUCAGCGGUAAAAGUCCGGGGCUCAACCCCGGCGAGCCGUUGAAACUGGCUGUCUUGAGUUGUCGAGAGGUAUGCGGAAUGCGCGGUGUAGCGGUGAAAUGCUUAGAUAUUGCGCAGAACUCCGAUUGCGAAGGCAGCAUACCGGCGGCGAUCUGACGCUGAGGCACGAAAGCGUGGGUAUCGAACAGGAUUAGAUACCCUUGUAGUC
rnacentral:rRNA from 1 species